rnacentral:snRNA from 1 species
GUGCUCACUUCGGCAGCACAUAUACUAAAAUUGGAACGAUACAGAGAAGAUUAGCGUGGCCCCUGCACAAGGAUGACACGNAAAUUCAUGAAGCAUUCCAUAUUUUU